AGAGUUUGAUCCUGGCUCAGGACGAACGCUGGCGGCGUGCUUAACACAUGCAAGUCGAACGAUGAAGCCCUUCGGGGUGGAUUAGUGGCGAACGGGUGAGUAACACGUGGGCAAUCUGCCCUUCACUCUGGGACAAGCCCUGGAAACGGGGUCUAAUACCGGAUAACACCGGCUUCCGCAUGGAAGCUGGUUGAAAGCUCCGGCGGUGAAGGAUGAGCCCGCGGCCUAUCAGCUUGUUGGUGGGGUAAUGGCCUACCAAGGCGACGACGGGUAGCCGGCCUGAGAGGGCGACCGGCCACACUGGGACUGAGACACGGCCCAGACUCCUACGGGAGGCAGCAGUGGGGAAUAUUGCACAAUGGGCGAAAGCCUGAUGCAGCGACGCCGCGUGAGGGAUGACGGCCUUCGGGUUGUAAACCUCUUUCAGCAGGGAAGAAGCGAAAGUGACGGUACCGCAGAAGAGCCCCGAUCCGCCCU
rnacentral:rRNA from 1 species